rnacentral:rRNA from 1 species
CGCUACUACCGAUUGAAUGGCUUAGUGAGGCGUUCGGAGAGCCUAUAAAGAGCUGGCAACAGCACUUUACUGGUUCAAAGUUCUACGAACUUGGUCAUUUAGAGGAAGUAAAAGUCGUAACAAGUUU